rnacentral:rRNA from 1 species
UACGGGGGGGGCAAGCGUUGUUCGGAAUUACUGGGCGUAAAGGGCUCGUAGGCGGCCAAUUAAGUCGGACGUGAAAUCCCUCAGCUUAACUGGGGAACUGCGUCUGAUACUGGAUGGCUUGGAUUCGGGAGAGGGAUGCGGAAUUCCAGGUGUAGCGGUGAAAUGCGUAGAUAUCUGGAGGAAUACCGGUGGCGAAGGCGGCAUCCUGGACCGGCAUUGACGCUGAUGAGCGAAAGCUAGGGGAGCAAACGGG